GCUCUAGUAUUUUAAACGCUGUAAUGUAGGAGAUUUUCCUAAUGUUGAUGUUUUGAAUGAAUUGUUUAACGAUUCAUAUUUACCUCGUUUUCAGUCAUCGAUAGAGAUGUGAUUGAAUUGAUCUAGUAAAUAGACCUUCACAAGAAUAGUUUUUCAUUGAACUCAUCAUAUAUCAUUCGGAAUUUACUUGAAAAUAUGUGAUAACGCUAUGGGAAACCUUUUCUCAAUCAGAUGAUCAGCAAUGUUAUCAUCUCCAAUAUUUCCCCUUUUAUAAAUAACGUUGAAAGGCAUUUAAGAGAUGCCUUCACCGUGACAUUCACAACUUGUCAUUAAUGUGCCUUGUAUCGGAAUUGGAAUAGCAAGGAAGCUUGCUUUCGUAUAUUAUUUUCUCUUUUGUUCCAACACAACUACUUUUAAUCUGAUUCGGUUUUUGGUCCAUCAUGUCUUUCGCAUUAUCUCGCUCUGUUUUCAACGGAUUCAGAUCCCACUUUUUCCAUCUAGGUACAUCCAAAUCAUCAGACCAAUGCAUCAACAAAUGGUACCAACAUUGUGCUUCUCAUUUUAUUUUUAAACAACAACGCUCAUUCAGUACUUCGUUUGAUUUUAAACCAUCACCUGAGACUCAAGAAAUGGUUGACCUAGCCCGAAACUUUACACGAGAUAAUAUAAUUCCAGUAGCUUCAAAAUAUGAUCAAAGUGGUGACUUUCCCGUGGAGAUUAUUAACAAAACUCACUCUCUUGGACUCAUGAAUUUUUUCAUCCCAACUGAAUACGGAGGUGUCGGUGUAGAUUAUGUGGAUAGCCUAUUGAUACAAGAACAAUUGGGAUAUGGUUGCACUGCGAUCAGUAUGGCAAUGGCUCUUAAUGGAUUAGCAGGAAUAUCACUGGUUAAUUACGGUAGUGCGGCACAGAAAGAUAAAUAUUUAACUCAUUUAGCCAAUAAACCAUCGUUUACUGCUUUUUGUGUUACUGAACCAGGAGCAGGAUCUGAUGUAGCUGGUCUUAAAACAAGGGCAGAUCGAACAUCGACCAAUGAAUGGAUCUUGAAUGGUGAAAAGGCUUGGAUUAGCAAUGGAUCAACUGCCAAUGUUUAUUGUGUGUUGGCUCGCUCAGAUCAUUCACCAGAAACGAAGCCUGCAAAAGCUUUUACCAUGUUUUUGGUUGACAAAGGAACACCAGGAUUAAAAAUUGGGAAAAAAGAAGAAAAUCUAGGCCAACGUUGUGCCGAUACUAGAUCCAUCAGUUUCGAAAAUGUCAAGUUAACCUCUGAAUCCGUUUUAGGUAAAGUUGGUGAAGGGUUUAAAAUGACCAUGGGAGCUUUUGAUUAUCAACGUCCAAUAUUGGCAUGUAACUCUGUUGGUUUAGCUCAAAGAGCUCUUGAUGAAGCUGUAAAGUAUUCAUUAGAAAGAAAAGCUUUUGGACAACCAAUUUCCAACUAUCAGGCAAUUCAAUUUAAAUUAGCUAAUAUGGCAAUAGGAAUUGAAUCAGCUCGUUUAACCUAUUUAAAAGCCGGUUGGGCUUAUCAAAAUAACGAGCAGAUAACUUUGCUAGCAUCGAUUGCUAAAACAUUGGCUGCUGAUGUGGCUAAUCAGAGUGCUGCAGAGGCUGUUCAAGUUUUCGGUGGAGCUGGGUUCAAUUCCGAAUAUCCAGUUGAAAAAUUAAUGAGAGAUGCUAAGUUAUUUCAUAUUUAUGGUGGAACGGUAGAAAUUCAAAGAAUGGUUAUCGCUCGAGAAAUUAUAAAACAAGCUAAAGAUAAAUUGUAAUAAUUUCUGUAAAUUUCUUUCAUUUACUAAGUUAACUCAUUUGAAUUCUAAGUUUUUUACACCAAACUUGACUAAUUGUUAAUGUUAUUUUUAUUCAAAGUUUUAUAUUCUUACAUUUUAUUAAAUGAUUUUACAAUCAUCACAUAAUUAUCAAUUAUAAGCUAAACGUUUCAAUGCAAUGUAAAAUUGUCUUUUUUUGUUGGAAUUAAAAAACUAAAUUAACAC